UCUUGACAUCCUUUGACAACUCUAGAGAUAGAGCCUUCCCCUUCGGGGGACAAAGUGACAGGUGGUGCAUGGUUGUCGUCAGCUCGUGUCGUGAGAUGUUGGGUUAAGUCCCGCAACGAGCGCAACCCUUAAGCUUAGUUGCCAUCAUUAAGUUGGGCACUCUAAGUUGACUGCCGGUGACAAACCGGAGGAAGGUGGGGAUGACGUCAAAUCAUCAUGCCCCUUAUGAUUUGGGCUACACACGUGCUACAAUGGACAAUACAAAGGGCAGCGAAACCGCGAGGUCAAGCAAAUCCCAUAAAGUUGUUCUCAGUUCGGAUUGUAGUCUGCAACUCGACUACAUGAAGCUGGAAUCGCUAGUAAUCGUAGAUCAGCAUGCUACGGUGAAUACGUUCCCGGGUCUUGUACACACCGCCCGUCACACCACGAGAGUUUGUAACACCCGAAGCCGGUGGAGUAACCUUUUAGGAGCUAGCCGUCGAAGGUGGGACAAAUGAUUGGGGUGAAGUCGUAACAAGGUAGCCGUAUCGGAAGGUGCGGCUGGAUCACCUCCUUU
rnacentral:rRNA from 1 species